AUCCUAACCAACUAGACUACAACGGAUUUGUCUUUGUUUCAGAUACUUAAAUAUUUGUAAUAAUAGUUACAUUAGUAAUAGGAUUAGAUGAAUACUCGCUAGGUUAUAUUGGAGUUCUUCAUAUCCUCUGUUCUAACAGUCAUUAUCUCAAUUCUUGUUUCUGUUUUGAAGCCAUUGCUUCUGAUCAAAUUCUACGCUACCCAUAACUACAAGAAGAUGAAUUUAUCUGGAUCGAUUGAAAGUCCCACAAAGUAUGUAUUGCUUCUAUCUCCAUUCAAGAGGUCCAGCUUUACCAUGUAAGCACACUCCAGUUUACCAAGAUCAUGGUAACUGGUAAACGUAAAGAAUUCUUUUGUCUUGAAACUUGAAAGGCGAAAUAAUCUGCCAUGGAUACUGCUAGAGAUGAAUCAUCGGGUGACCCUUAGCUCCAUAUCUUUCAUAAAAAUGGUCAAUUUCUUUGUUGUUUGCAAACCCAUUCUAAUUGAAUCCAUAAAAAUGGUUAAUUUCUUUUUUCUAGAAAGUUAUAUGCUAUAUUGGAUUAUGCUUCAAAGAAUUUAAGAUUCUUGUUCUUUUGAAUCACCGUGAAGUUGUUGUGUUCAUCGGUAACUUAUGUGCUUUUGUGAAAUAGAGUCAACCUAGUGAAGUCCAAAAUUUUGGUCAUAAGAAGGUCGUAGAUUGUUGCAUUUUAAUGUGUUGUAUCAAUCAAGGGUUCUCAUAAUACUAAUUUUGUUUUGGCUUUUCAAUGGGGACUAAUAUCACACGAAUUAUGUUAAUUAAAAGAAGAGGAAAGACAAAUCACACUAAUCGCAUUAACCAUUUUCUAAGAUUUAAGCAAAAAUUAGAGACUCAGCGUAAAUAGCCAUGUUUGUGAUUUUAGUAGGUGGUGAAAAUCAUGGUGGCCGAGAGAACCUCAAAAACGUCGUCAUUUAAGAGAUCUUUGCAUGUAAACAUGUGUGGAAUUCUCUUUCAUUGUGAAAAAAUUAAUCCCAAAAUGCCAAAACUGAUUUGAAAGAAAAAUAUAUCAGUUGAUGGAUUUGAUUGAAAGGGCUCUUGAUGAAAAUGUGGUUGUUGAAUUUGUGGUUGAUAGUAUGGGUUUUGUUGAAAUGAUGGUUGUUGAUCGGAUUGUGGUCGUUGAAAUAGGUUUCGCGAAGGUCCUUGAAGUUCGGGGAAUUCUUGAAACUUUGAUCGUAUUUAUCGAAUCGUAAAGUUUACUUUGGUGGUGGUAUACUUGCGUUUUGGUUAUUUCGAGUUUUCUUCCAUAUUUUUGAGAAAUGAAAAAGUUAUUUGAGAUGUAAGAAAAAGAAUGGUGUAUAAGAGGUGUGUGUAAAAUGGUAAAAAUUUGUUAGUAUGUAUAGAUACAGUACUAAGUUAAAAAAAAAUACACAAAUGAUCAA